rfam:Triticum aestivum genome assembly, contig: Triticum_aestivum_CS42_TGACv1_scaffold_289844_4AL
AUCAUACUUCCUCUGUCCGAAAAUACUUGUCAUCAAAAUGGAUAAAAGGAGAUGUAUAUACUCCCUCUGUUCUAGAUACAUCUUUUUUUAUCCAUUUUGAUGACAAGUAUUUUCGGACGGAGGGAGUACAUG